rnacentral:rRNA from 1 species
UGAGGAAUCUUGCGCAAUGGGGGAAACCCUGACGCAGCAACGCCGCGUGAGUGAGGAAGGUUUUCGAAUCGUAAAGCUCUGUCAGGUGGAAAGAAAUGUAUGGAUGUUAAUAGCCUCCAUGCUUGACGGUACCACCAGAGGAAGCACCGGCUAACUCCGUGCCAGCAGCCGCGGUAAUACGGGGGGUGCAAGCGUUGUUCGGAAUCAUUGGGCGUAAAGAGCGUGUAGGCGGCUUGAUUAGUCAGAUGUGAAAGCCCUGGGCUUAACCCAGGAAGUGCAUUUGAUACUGUCUAGCUAGAGUAAGGGAGAGGAAAGCGGAAUUCCUGGUGUAGAGGUGAAAUUCGUAGAUAUCAGGAGGAACACCGGUGGCGAAGGCGGCUUUCUGGCCCUAUACUGACGCUGAGACGCGAGAGCGUGGGUAGCAAACA